rnacentral:rRNA from 1 species
UACGUAGGGUCCGAGCGUUGUCCGGAAUUAUUGGGCGUAAAGGGCUCGUAGGCGGUUUGUCACGUCGGGAGUGAAAACUCAGGGCUCAACCCUGAGCGUGCUUCCGAUACGGGCAGACUAGAGGUAUGCAGGGGAGAACGGAAUUCCUGGUGUAGCGGUGGAAUGCGCAGAGUAUCAGGAGGAACACCGGUGGCGAAGGCGGUUCUCUGGGCAUGACCUGACGCUGAGGAGCGAAAGCAUGGGGAGCGAACAGG